UGGCGAUCGCAACCUCGAGCAUGGUUUGAUUUGGAAGAGUGGUUAACGCGUUUACUUUGCACAAAUGGCAUUUUUGCUGGCCACUGGCGACGUCUCAAUGUAGGAAAAACUCUUUGAGUUGCUUUGGUGCAUUAAACAACCACUUGACGAGACAACAUCCUGAAAUGAUGGAGAUUUGAUUCUCGUUCAAACGUCUAGUUGCGUGGACACUGAAGUACAUGGAGGACAUAUCUGAUUAAAAUUAACACGGAGUUUGCGAUCUGAAGAGGUCAAGGAGACUAGGAUACAUAAUAUUACUGGUAUCUCUGCUCAAAACAACAAAGAAGUUUGAAUUUGGAGUCUACUUCUACCUUGUGGUUCACUUAGAUAACGUAAAGUACGGACGGGUGUCCUUGUUGUAUUUGGGAAGAAUUAAUUUUAAGUCUUUGGCGGGAGACUUUUGUAUGGCUCAUUUGAAGCUCUCUCUAUCUUACUUUAGAUGUCAAGAGAAAUGACCAUAUCAGGCAAGAGACCAAAGAAAAAGGUCAAUCAUGGAAUGACCGAGAAAUUGGGGGUCGAUCCGCCACCGUCCCCCACCACACCCGCCUCUUAUAUACAGUUGUUUUGUAAUUUGAGACAAGUUCAACAUUGUGGUACGACAUAUCGUAAUAAGCAUGUGUCUUACAAUACGCAUGUGUUCUUAAUAAAGAUUUAGUUUUACCACAAGGAUGAACUCGUCUUAAAUUACAAAUCAACUGUCUAUAAGAGGUGGGUGUGGUGGGGGACGAUGGCGGAUCGACCCCCGAUUUUUCGUUCACUCCAUGGUUGACCUUUUUCUUUGGUUUCUUGCCUGAGAUGGUCAUUUCUCGUGACAAUCACUUGCACUUAAAAGUGGACAAAUAACUUUUAUAGACAGAGCCUUAGGAAAGGCAGACCUUUUCUUUUUUCUUUAUUUAACACACAAUGUGGAUCAAAGUUUUAAAAUCAAAACCCAUUCAAUCUACAUAGUGGUGCACGCGAUAGUUUGGAAUGUUAGCAAAUUACUCCUUCUUUUUCACGUUGCUACCUUCUUGGACCUUUCAUUUUCGUCUUUCUUCCUCUGUCGAUGUGAAAGAAAUUUUAAAACAGAAAUGUAAUCAAUAACUUUUUCCCGUCAUAUGUAACUGGCAAUAAGUCAAUAAAAUAUAUGCCAAGUACAA